ACUACAAUCAUGAGUAUUUAUGUUGUCACGAGUGAUUCGAUCAGAAUGAUUCAAUCACUAAGUGAAUCGGAUGAAUUAUUAUUCAUUUGAUGAAAACAAAUCGAUCACUUUUUAAUUCAAUUCAACUUCUGUUAUAACUGACACAAUCAUUUUAAUUUCCAAUAUCGCGAUUUAUUUAAAAUCAUUAGCCACUAAAUUAUAUAUUUUGUUUUAGUUUCGAAUUUUUGUUUUGUUGAAUUUUAUUUUAUUAGAUGGAAUUUUAUUGAAAAUAUUUUUUUGUUUUUUAAUGACACUUCAAUCAUUCGCCAAUUGCUAAAUGACAGGGUCCAUUUUCAGGCCCUACCAUAAAGCCACCACAUCUCUGGAGGGAUCAACCAGACUGUAGAGAACGCGUAUCGACGGGCCAACUCGAACAUCUUAAACUUUCCAAGGAUUUUAAAGCCAAAGCGUUUCCACAUAGCCAAUCUGGCUAACGAUAAAGGAGUUUUUCAGCUCUUGGUGAAUACAAAAAAAAAUUAUUAUUAUGUUAUAAACACACGGGAGUUUUAAUUUCAUUUGCCAAAUCCUUUCAAUCGUUUUAUUGAUAGAAUCAAUUCAAAAAUCAGUCACUAUUCAUUAAAUCGUUUAUUUUUUUUACAAAUAUGCAAAUAUUUUGAUUCCAAUUGAAUCUCUGUUCUCUCGAAUGAUUUGUCUUUUUUGAUUUGUUAUAAUUUGAUGAAUGAAUGUUGAUUUGUGAAUUACCAAGUCUGCAUUAUUUAUCGAAUCAUAUGAUUAAUUGAUUCAAUUGACCAGUGAGUUGAACCAAAUAAAUUGAUUCCUUGAAAAGAAUAAUUUCUCCUAUCACUAACAGCUAAUAUAUCAAAGAAUUAUGGGCAAACGUUUCUCUCGAAAUGAAAAUUAUUCGGAGGAAUUUACCGCAACGUUUUCUGUGUUUUCUACCGCAGCAAUUAGUGGGAACCGGCCUUAUCAUUAGUAUAUUAUAUCGUACCUUCACAGUUCAUAGGCGUUUUGCCAACCAAAGACUACAUAGCAAUACAUGUAUAUGGGAUGGCGUCAUGAGGUACGGAGUGAGGAAACCUUUUUUCUUUAGACAAGUUGGAAAUUUCAUGGCUGUCCGUAGAGCAUUUUGAAAAAAUAAUUGCUAAUCUUUUAUAUCAAAUACAGUAGAACCUCUGUAUGUUGACCACCCAAGGGACUGUAACAAACUGGUCAACCUAUGGAGGUGGUCAACAUAAAGAACUACAGUACGCGUAUUGUACUGAAUGUGACCUCUGAUGCGACAUUUUAUAGAAGAAAGAAUACAGUACUGUGAUAUUAAAAUCAUAUAAACAAAACACAAUGCAUACUGUAAUUGUAUACAGGGUGUUUUGCAGAUGGUCCGACAAAAUUUUGGGGGGGAUUCGGAGGGUCGUGCUAGUUAUCGCCCAUAGGACCUGUAUCCUAAGUGUCACCGUAAUUGAGAUAUGAUUUUUUAAUGUUUUGUUAAAUUUUUUCGAAAUCUCGCCUUUAAAUCAUCAUAACUUUUUUGUUUGUAGUUUUAAUAGUACGAAAUAAAUUUUGUUGUAUACUGCAGCGUAUGC
rnacentral:lncRNA from 1 species